AUUAUUUGAGGUAGACAAUUGUGCCAUCUACACACCUUUUAAAGGUCAAAAGAGAUACAGGAUGUGGCACACCUGUCAAAUAAU
rnacentral:ncRNA from 1 species